AACGCACAUUGCGCCCCUUGGUAUUCCGAGGGGCAUGCCUGUUCGAGCGUCAUUAUAACCACUCAAGCCUCGGCUUGGUAUUGGGGUUCGCGGUCUCGCGACCCUUAAAACCAGUGGCGGUGCCAUCUGGCUCUAAGCGUAGUAAUUCUCUCGCUACAGGGUCUAGGUGGUUACUUGCCAAAACCCCCUAUUUUCUAUGGUUGACCUCGGAUCAGGUAGGGAUACCCGCUGAACUUAA
rnacentral:misc_RNA from 1 species